CGAACGAGUUGGCAACUAAGCAGAUCGAAUGGCUGUUUAAUUGCCCGCUAAACCCCCAUGCAGGUGGGUGCUGGGAAAGAUUGGUACGAAGUGUGAAGAGGGCCAUAGGACACGCACAGCAUGACAAAAACCUGAAAGAAGACAUACUGUAUAGCCUAAUGUGUAACGCUGAAAACAUAGUAAAUUCCAGACCGCUUACACACAUUGCUCUGGAUAACCCCACAGACGAUCCGAUAACCCCUAAUCACUUUCUUUUAGGUUCUCCCAAUUCUAGCCAGACACCACAUCCACAAGAGGAGAAGUACCAGCCAACUCGAAAGGAAUGGCGCAUCGCUCAGCAGAUCUCACACUCAUUUUGGAACAAGUGGCUCAAUGAGUACCUACCAGACCUAUGCAGACGGACAAAGUGGCAUCACCCAGUGCCACCACUCGCUGAAAUGGACAGUGUUCUUAUCUGUGAUAAGAACCUUCAUCGAUCUCAAUGGAAAAAGGGAGUUAUUCUAGCAGUCACGCCUGGACGCGACGGACAGGUUCGCUCAGCCUUUGUAAAGACGACGGCUGGAGUUCUACACCGCCCAACCUGUAUGCUGGCAAAGCUAGACUAUUGUGAAUCACGAGCGUGCUUGAUUCACGGUGGUGGGGAUGUUGCUGAGAAAAAUUAGCUUAUGUAUACUUAGUUCUAAGCAAGAUACCCUACAUAAAGAAAAAAGAGAGAAGAAAAAUGGUCACGCUAUGAAAAGACAAGAAGGUCACAUUAGUUUGAGCAGUCGAUAAAAGAGCGGGGAGAAAAGACGAAGCGAAAUAAAACGCAACCAACGCCUAAGUACCGAUUAAGAUAAGCGAUUGUGUUUUAUCCGCAAUUCUCACGUUUCUGGACACAAUAUCUUUUAUUUCGCUCCUUGGAAGCCAAUGACCCUAGAGUUCUUAGAGUUUGUGUGAAGACGGGUGGAGACUCGUGGUGCAAGAACUGAAGUAUACUGGACAUUGGAGAAGCGACCGAACCCACAAGGAGACGGUCAUCUCGCUCGUGGGUGGACAAUAAACAUUGAAGAACACGAAGGCCAACGUGGGUGCGCACUACAGGCAGCUGAAAAGCGCACAUAUAUGUGUAUGUAUGCGAGAUCGUGCAAAUACUGGCAUCUCGCUCUUACCAACGAAGUUCUUACGGGCCAGCCUCUAGUUGGCUUCGGUGCGCAGUAAAAAGCCAGAUUAGUCGCGUUAGAGAAUUUCCGAGCAUUCGCGAAGGGAGAUUGGAAAAAUUAGUAGAGUUCGAAAUGAAGGUACAAAACUUGGCUUCAUUCUUAGAAACAGCUAACGCACAUCAGCAGUUAAAAAAUCCAACAUUAAUGGAGGAGUAAGUCUUAAAGUUGCCAGUGCAACAGAGACUGGAGUGGGCCAUUCCAAGCAACUAGGAGAUGAAAAAUCGAUCCGUCAUUUAAGUCUAUGGCUUCAGGGAUUGGCCGAAGAAGUGCAAGACGCAGGAUUGGUUGACGAUCAGGCAACAUUCAAGCCAAAGAAAGAAAAGUCGAGACUAUUCCAUGCAAACGACAUCGGACUUGUAACCAUGAAGGCGUGCUCCGCCUGCAAUGGGAAACACGACUUGGAAAAGUGUAACUCAUUUGCCCAGUUAGAACUUGAGAAAAAAUGGCAGCAUGUCUUUGGAUAGAAAAUGUAUACAUGAUCCAGACUACUACAAAAAAUACUGCGACCUGAUGGAAGCAUACGAACAAAAGUCAUACAUUCGGCAUCUCACAAACAGUGAACUGGAAGUGGACAAGAAAAAAUAAUGGUUCCUGCCUCAUUUUGGGGUCUUAAAUCCUAACAAGCCCGGCAAGUUGAGAAUUGUUUUCGACGCGGCUGCAGAAGUCGAUAAAGUGUCGUUAAACUCCAUGCUCAUGACUGGCCCCGACGGGUAUCAAUCCUUAACGGGCAUUCUUAUGAGGUUCAGAUAGAAACCGAUUGGAGUCUGUGCUGACAUAGCAGAAAUGUUCCACUAAGUCAUAAUACGAAAGGAGGAUCGAUGUGCCCAACGCAUACUAUAGAGGAAGAAUCCAGGCGACGAGAUGAAGGAGUAUGAAAUGCAGGUCAUGACCUUUGGAGCCAAAUGUUCACCGGCCUCUGCUCAAUACGUGAAAAAUAGAAACGCACUUGAAUUUAAGGAAUCGUAUCCAGAUGCGGUGAAUGCCAUUAUUAAAAACCAUUAUGUAGACGAUUUGGUGCAUUGUUUUUCAUCCGAUGAAUCGGCUGUGAGAGUUGUGAAGGAGAUAGUUGACAUUCACAAAAGGAAGGAUUCUAACUGAGAAAGUCCAAUUCGAAAUUCUUCAACAAGGUUUUUGGUAACGAACAAGUAUCUGAGCCCAUAACUCUUGAUAGGGAUGAAUCUUCGCAUUAUCAAAAGGUCCUGGGAAUGUACUGGUGUACACGCAGCGACGAAUUUGGGCUCUCACUUUCGUUUAACAAAAUUGACGCUUCAAUCUUUUCAGAAUCAAGAAUACCGUCUGUUCAAACAUGAACAUAUUAUUGUACACAUUCACUCAUGUAUCCAAAAAAUGGAUCUCUAAAGAAAUCACAUAAAGUAGAUAAGUAAUGACAGUUCGGGUGUAAACAAAGAUAUGUAGCCCAUCUUAAAAUAACACUAAUGUAAGCAUGAACUCAAAUAGACACCCGCAGUAAAAUGUAUCCUUUGCGUAGGUCUAACGAUAAUUAUAGAAUACAAAAUUGUACCUUCUUCUUCAUUGUCAAAUCACAUAUAAGGCUCUGAUUUUAAGAAUAAAAUUUAGUUUGAAUUUAAAACUCAA